ACACGACUACAUUAGAUACCCCGGUAGUCCUAGCCGUAAACGAUACUCGCUAGGUGUCGGCCACGGUGCGACCGUUGUCGGUGCCGUAGGGAAGCCGUGAAGCGAGCCACCUGGGAAGUACGGCCGCAAGGCUGAAACUUAAAGGAAUUGGCGGGGGAGCACCGCGACGGGAGGAGCGUGCGGUUCAAUUGGAUUCAACGCCGAAAAACUCACCAGGAGCGACGGAUAUAUGAAGGUCAAGCUGAUGACUUUACCUGAUUUUCCG
rnacentral:rRNA from 1 species